UUCCUAUUAUCAUAUACAUAUACAUUACUUGUAUUGCAUUUUACAGGAUUGUGUUAUGUUUUUAUAUUAGCACAUUAAGGAUAUGUUACAUUAUACACGUCUGCAAAAAGUUCAAUAACAAUAUCUCAUUUGUUAACAGUAAUAUUAAACAAUAUCUGCUCCUUGCAGUCGAGCGUGAUUCGUAAUCAGUGAUCAGUUUUCAAGCUCCUCUUUUAUGGAACCAGCUUCCUCCUUCAGUCCAUGAGGCAGACACAGUCACCUCAUGUAGAGGAGACUGAAGACUUUCCUCUUUGAUAGUCUUACAGUUAGGACUGAAUCAGGGUCACCUGGUCCCGCCCCUAGAGAUGCUGCUAUAGGCUUACAGGCUGCUGGGGGACGUUUUAGGAUACACUGCGCACCUACCUCCUCUUCUCUCUCUCCUUAUGGAUGAAUUUUCAUCUCUCUAUCGCACAUUACUAACUCUGCUUCCUCCCCGGAGUCCUUGUGACUCCACGUCUCAUCGGGUCCAUUGGACCUGGCUGGGUCUGAAGCCUCCUGCCAUGGCCCUGCUGAUGUGUCCUUUCAUUUCUUUGGCACAUACAUUCCACAUAGUUACAGUCAGAUGAGGUCAGCAGCGGAGCAAUACGCCAAAAUGUGAGGUGUGAUGUGGCACGGUUGGUUUGACCCACACCUGCUGGGUAUCCUUCAAUCGAGCACUGAAGGAAGUGCAUCAUGAAGACAGAAGUGCUUUCAUAUGACCUUCCCUCAACAUGAAGACACGUUGUUAUGACCUUGGAACCGAAGUCUAAUUUUUUUAAUGAAAUGACCCCCUAACAUAUUUUUUUUCCGCUAUCAGGUCUAGAAAGAAUUCUUAUUUACAAUGUUAGCUGUAAAAAAGAGUCCAUGAACUUGUGACCUUUGUCUUUGGAGCGGUCGAGGGACUCGAUCGGGGGGUUUAGCCUCCAGUGAGGCCUCCAGUGAGGCCCUGCAGAGGGACCAAUGCCAGCUCAACCCUGAACUAUGACUGCUCUGGUGAUGCCGAUCAGAUGAAGUUACAUAUUGUCUACUGUAGUGGAUAAUGGAGGGUUGGGCAAUAUGGCAAUACUUCUAUCAAUAGUAGACUCUCAUUCUGUGUUUUCAGGACCAUCUUUACAUUACUAAACUUGUUGAAACUAAUUCACCUUAGUUCUGAAACAAGAUUUCAGGGAAGUCUUAUUUGUUUUUGUUUUUGUACAAUACAAUUCAAUAUUACAGUAAUCUUAGUGAGGAAAUAAUGUGCUGUAAUGUUCUACACCCUCAUAGUGAAUGCUUCACACAGUAAUUACAGUAUGUCGAGAAGAGAAAGAGGAAAUAUGCUGAGAUUUCAGAUUGUGCAGACUCCAUUAAUAACCAAUAAAAAUGCAUGUGUUUGA